rnacentral:rRNA from 1 species
GUGCCAGCAGCCGCGGUAAUACGGAGGGUGCUAGCGUUGUUCGGAAUCACUGGGCGUAAAGCGCGUGUAGGCGGUCUGCUAAGUCUGAUGUGAAAGCCCGGGGCUCACCCCCGGAAGUGCAUUGUAAACUGACAGACUGGAGUCCCGGAGAGGAGUGUGGAAUUCCUGGUGUAGCGGUGAAAUGCGUAGAUAUCAGGAGGAACACCGGUGGCGAAGGCGGGUCUCUGGACAGUUCCUGACGCUGAGGCGCGAAGGCCAGGGGAGCAAACGGGAUUAGAUACCCUUGUAGUCC